AGCACCGGCUAACUCCGUGCCAGCAGCCGCGGUAAUACGGAGGGUGCAAGCGUUGUUCGGAUUCACUGGGUAUAAAGGGUGCGCAGGCGGCCCGAUAAGUCAGGGGUGAAAUAUGACGGCUUAACCGUCAAACUGCCCCUGAAACUGUCAGGCUUGAGUUCGAGAGAGGUAGGUGGAAUUCCAGGUGUAGCGGUGAAAUGCGUAAAUAUCUGGAGGAACACCGGUGGCGAAGGCGGCCUACUGGCUCGAUACUGACGCUCAGGCACGAAAGCAUGGGGAGCGAACGGGAUUAGAUACCCCGGUAGUCCAUGCCGUAAACGAUGGGUACUAGGUGUUGGAGGAUUCUACCCCUUCAGUGCCGCAGCUAACGCAUUAAGUACCCCACCUGGGGAGUACGAUCGCAAGGUUGAAACUCAAAUGAAUUGACGG
rnacentral:rRNA from 1 species